rnacentral:rRNA from 1 species
UAAGGAAUAUUGGUCAAUGGACGCAAGUCUGAACCAGCCAUGCCGCGUGGAGGAUGAAGGCCCUCUGGGUUGUAAACUUCUUUUAUAUGGGACGAAAAAGGGUCUUUCUAGAUCAACUGACGGUACCAUGUGAAUAAGCACCGGCUAACUCCGUGCCAGCAGCCGCGGUAAUACGGAGGGUGCAAGCGUUAUCCGGAUUCACUGGGUUUAAAGGGUGCGUAGGUGGGUUGGUAAGUCAGUGGUGAAAUCUUCGAGCUUAACUCGGAAACUGCCAUUGAUACUAUAGGUCUUGAAUCAUCUGGAGGUGAGCGGAAUAUGUCAUGUAGCGGUGAAAUGCUUAGAUAUGACAUAGAACACCGAUUGCGAAGGCAGCUCACUACGGAUGUAUUGACACUGAGGCACGAAAGCGUGGGGAUCAAACA